UACGAAGGGGGGCUAGCGUUGCUCGGAAUCACUGGGCGUAAAGCGCACGUAGGCGGCUUCUCAAGUCAGGGGGUGAAAUCCUGGAGCUCAACUCCAGAACUGCCUUUGAUACUGAGGGGCUCGAGUCCGGGAGAGGUGAGUGGAACUGCGAGUGUAGAGGUGAAAAUUCGUAGAUAUUCGCAAGAACACCAGUGGCGAAGGCGGCUCACUGGCCCGGUACUGACGCUGAGGUGCGAAAGCGUGGGGAGCGAACAGG
rnacentral:rRNA from 1 species